UCCUACGGGAGGCAGCAGUGAGGAAUAUUGGUCAAUGGGCGAGAGCCUGAACCAGCCAAGUCGCGUGAAGGAUGAAGGUUCUAUGGAUUGUAAACUUCUUUUGUAAGGGAAUAAAAAAAGGUACGUGUACUUUAUUGUAUGUACUUUACGAAUAAGGAUCGGCUAACUCCGUGCCAGCAGCCGCGGUAAUACGGAGGAUCCAAGCGUUAUCCGGAUUUAUUGGGUUUAAAGGGUGCGUAGGCGGGUUUUUAAGUCAGUGGUGAAAGUUUGCGGCUCAACCGUAAAAUUGCCAUUGAAACUGAAGACCUUGAGUGUAAAUGAGGUAGGCGGAAUGUGUUGUGUAGCGGUGAAAUGCUUAGAUAUAACACAGAACACCAAUUGCGAAGGCAGCUUACUGGGAUACAACUGACGCUGAGGCACGAAAGCGUGGGGAUCAAACAGGAUUAGAUACCCGUGUAGUCC
rnacentral:rRNA from 1 species